UACGUAGGGGGCAAGCGUUGUCCGGAUUUAUUGGGCGUAAAGCGCUCGCAGGUGGUUCGUUGCGUCGUGCGUGAAAGACCCCGGCUCAACUGGGGGAUGUCGUGCGAUACGGGCGGACUGGAGGCCAGUAGGGGGGAUGCGGAAUUCCUGGUGUAGCGGUGAAAUGCGCAGAUAUCAGGAGGAACACCGGUGGCGAAGGCGGAUCUCUGGGCCAUUACUGACGCUGAGGAGCGAAAGCGUGGGGAGCGAACAGG
rnacentral:rRNA from 1 species